CUACUAAAUGCUUACAUAGACUGCUUAACACACACACACACAGUGUCAGGGUUCUUACCUGAGAUGGGAGUCUGUAGCGCUGUUAUGUAUUGGGGUGUUAUGCAGUCCACCUUCCAGUAGAUGGCAGCAUAGCAAAGUUAUACACUUGUUCUGUUGUGUUAGUGUCUCUUGUGUUAUGUCAUUAGGUGUGUGUGCUGAAGUAAAGAGAGGUCCUAUUUCACUACUUGUCUGUGAGCCAUUUGUGAAUAUAUAACAUACAAAUACUCUAAAUUGUCGACGAGAUGGGAUGUCAGUAAAUGG